CCUACGGGUGGCUGCAGUGAGGAAUAUUGGUCAAUGGUCGGGAGACUGAACCAGCCAAGCCGCGUGAGGGAGGAAGGUACAGAGUAUCGUAAACCUCUUUUGUCAGGGAACAAAGGCGGGGACGUGUCCCCGGAUGAGUGUACCUGAAGAAAAAGCAUCGGCAAACUCCGUGCCAGCAGCCGCGGUAAUACGGGGGAGGCGAGCGUUAUCGGGAUUUGUUGGGUUAAAGGGGGGCGCAGGCGGUCUGUUAAGCCAGCGGUCAAAGCCCGGGGCUCAACCCCGGCCCGCCGUUGAAACUGGCAGUCUCGAGUUGGAGAGAAGUAAGCGGAAUGCGCGGUGUAGCGGUGAAAUGCAUAGAUAUCGCGAAGAACUCCGAUUGCGAAGGCAGCAUGCCGGCUCCACACUGACGCUGAGGCACGAAAGCGUGGGUAUCGAACAGGAUUAGAUACCCGGGUAGUC
rnacentral:rRNA from 1 species